rnacentral:tRNA from 1 species
GGCACUAUAGCCAAGUGGUUACGGCGACAGAUUCGAACACACAGUACUAUCUGUUCCUCUUUGAGGGCGCAGGUUCAAAUCCUGCUGGUGUCG